AGCAUAUCAAUAAGCGGAGGAAAAGAAACCAACAGGGAUUGCCCUAGUAACGGCGAGUGAAGCGGCAACAGCUCAAAUUUGAAAUCUGGCUUCGGCCCGAGUUGUAAUUUGUAGAGGAAGCUUUUGGUGAGGCACCUUCUGAGUCCCCUGGAACGGGGCGCCAUAGAGGGUGAGAGCCCCGUAUAGUCGGAUGCCGAUCCAAUGUAAAGCUCCUUCGACGAGUCGAGUAGUUUGGGAAUGCUGCUCAAAAUGGGAGGUAAAUUUCUUCUAAAGCUAAAUACCGGCCAGAGACCGAUAGCGCACAAGUAGAGUGAUCGAAAGAUGAAAAGCACUUUGAAAAGAGGGUUAAAUAGCACGUGAAAUUGUUGAAAGGGAAGCGUUUGUGACCAGACUUGCGCCGUUCCGAUCAUCCGGUGUUCUCACCGGUGCACUCGGGACGGCUCAGGCCAGCAUCGGUUUUGGCGGGGGGACAAAGGUCCUGGGAACGUAGCUCCUCCGGGAGUGUUAUAGCCCAGGGCGUAAUGCCCUCGCCGGGACCGAGGUUCGCGCAUCUGCAAGGAUGCUGGCGUAAUGGUCAUCAACGACCCGUCUUGAAACACGGACCAAGGAGUCAAGGUUUUGCGCGAGUGUUUGGGUGUAAAACCCGCACGCGUAAUGAAAGUGAACGUAGGUGAGAGCUUCGGCGCAUCAUCGACCGAUCCUGAUGUAUUCGGAUGGAUUUGAGUAAGAGCGUUAAGCCUUGGACCCGAAAGAUGGUGAACUAUGCUUGGAUAGGGUGAAGCCAGAGGAAACUCUGGUGGAGGCUCGCAGCGGUUCUGACGUGCAAAUCGAUCGUCAAAUCUGAGCAUGGGGGCGAAAGACUAAUCGAACCAUCUAGUAGCUGGUUACCGCCGA
rnacentral:rRNA from 1 species